CCUACGGGAGGCAGCAGUAGGGAAUCUUCCGCAAUGGACGAAAGUCUGACGGAGCAACGCCGCGUGAACGAUGAAGGCCUUCGGGUCGUUUAAAGUUCUGUUGACAGGGAAGAACAAGUACCGGAGUAACUGCCGGUACCUUGACGGUACCUGACCAGAAAGCCACGGCUAACUACGUGCCAGCAGCCGCGGUAAUACGUAGGUGGCAAGCGUUGUCCGGAAUUAUUGGGCGUAAAGCGCGCGCAGGCGUUCCUUAAGUCUGAUGUGAAAGCCCCCGCCUCCACCGGGGAGGGUCAUUGGAAACUGGGGAACUUGAGUGCAGAAGAGGAGAGCGGAAUUCCACGUGUAGCGGUGAAAUGCGUAGAGAUGUGGAGGAACACCAGUGGCGAAGGCGGCUCUCUGGUCUGUAACUGACGCUGAGGCGCGAAAGCGUGGGGAGCGAACAGGAUUAGAUACCCUGGUAGUCCACGCCGUAAACGAUGAGUGCUAAGUGUUAGAGGGUUUCCGCCCUUUAGUGCUGCAGCAAACGCAUUAAGCACUCCGCCUGGGGAGUACGGCCGCAAGGCUGAAACUCAAAGGAAUUGACGGGGGCCCGCACAAGCGGUGGAGCAUGUGGUUUAAUUCGAAGCAACGCGAAGAACCUUAC
rnacentral:rRNA from 1 species